AUACUUAAGGAAUAUUUUAAGGACUUAUACCCUAUUAGGGUUGUUGAAAUAUUACUAGAAAGAAACAACUCAAACCCCUUCUUUACAUUAUAUAAAAAUAGAUUCUAUGGUACAGAAAUUUUUAUUAAUAUAAUUCCUUUUAUAUAUUUAUUUACAUGUUUUUCUGUUUCAGAUUAUAGGCUCCUAAAAAGCAUUCACCACACUUUGUAUGUUGUGUAUUCUUUAUUCACUAUCCAGACUUGCAGGAGGUUGGAGUUCAGGAAACAACAUGCUUGGAUUCCAUUCUCAAGCAGUAUGCAGUCACCUGUCUCUUACAUCCAUGUACUUCUGCUACAAAAUACCAUUGCUGAUGGAGAAGAUUGGCAGGGGGAGAACUCCUCUCCCCAGUUGCUGUAUGCUAUAAAAAGGGUAUGAGAAGGGAUAAGCAAUCUCUUUCCUUGAGAGCUCAAUACUGAUCCAGGGUUGGUUUUCCUCUUAAUUUUAUACAUAGGAAGUUGGAGUCCUUGAAGCAGUCCUCAAAUACCACUUUCAGACUGUGUGUAGAGCUAUAUCCUAUGUCCUUGUGCUUUUGCUGCAAGACAGUGUGGAUAGAAUGAUUUUUCUCUAUGUCCCCUUCUCUUCGCUCACAAAGCCCUCAGUGUAGUUCAUAUACUCAUCAUUUCUUGCCUGAACAAACCAUCGUCUAAUUGGUCUCUCUGCCUUUAAUUGUUUGCUUCUCCGAUGUAUUUUUUUUUCAUAAAGUUUUAAAAUUGACAUUCCUGAACAUGAUUUGCAAGACUGUGGUAUGGGUGGGCUUAGAAUCCUCAGCCAACUUUUCCAUUUACUUGAGGACUCUUGGACUUCAUUGGACUCUCAGUUUCUAUAUAUGCCAGACACAUUCCUUCAAAUGUAAAUUAGAGUGGAGGGGACUAGAUGAUGCUUAUGAUUCCUUCCUGGUCUAAAUCCUAUAUUCCUGUGAUCCUGUGAAGGGUGGGAGGUUUUCUUCUGAAUUCCUUUAAUUUCGUAGAUUAUUGAUGAUUUUGAAUAACUUUUGUAUCCUGCAACUUUGCUAAAGUUGUGGAUUGUUUCUAAUAACUUUUUAGUAGAAUCUCUGGGGUUCUCUAAGUAUACCAUCAUAUCAUCAGCAAAGAGUAAUAAUUUGGUUUCCUCAUUGCCUACUCUAAUUCCUUUAAUCUCUUUCUCAACUCUUAUUGCCAAAGCUAGCAUUUCUAAUACAAUAUUGACUAGUAACAGUGAUAGUGGGCAACCUUGUUUCACUCCUGAUCUUAUUGGGAAUGGUUGCAGUUUUCCCCCAUUACAUAUGAUGCUUACUGCUGGUUUUAAAUGGAUGCUGCUGAUUAUUUUAAGGAAAAGUCCAUUUAUUCCUGUAUUCUCAAGUGUUUUUAAUAGGAAUGGAUGUUGGAUUUUAUCAAAUGCUUUUUUCUGCAUCUAUUGAGAUGAUCAUAUGUUUUUUGUUAAUUUGGUUAUUAUGGCCAAUUAUAUUGAUAGUUUUCCUAAUAUUGAACCAGCCCUGGUAUAAAUCCUACUUGAUCAUAGUGUAUUAUCCUGGGGAUGAUUUUCUGUAGUCUUUUUGCUAGUAUCUUAUUUAAGAUUUUAGCAUCAAUAUUCAUAAGGGAGAUUGGUCUGUAAUUUUCUUUCUCUGUUUUCAACCUACCUGGUUUAGGUAUCAGUACCAUGUCUGUGUCAUAAAAAGAAUUUGGUAGGACUCAUUCAUUCCCUAUUUUAUCAAAUAAUUUAUAUAUCAUUGGGCCCAAUUGUUCUUUAAAUGUUUGGUAGAAUUCACAUGUAAAUCCAUCUGGUCCUGGGGAUUUUUUCUUAGGGAAUUGAUUAAUAGUUUGUUCUAUUUCUUUUUCUGAAAUAGGACUAUUCAAACAAUUUACUUCCUCCUCUGUUAAUCUGGGAAGUCUAUAUUUUUGUAGGUAGUUAUCCAUUUCACUUAGGUUAUCAAAUUUAUUGGCAUAAAGUUGGGCAAAGUAACUCCUUAUUAUUUCUCUAAUUGUCUCUUCAUUGGUGGAAAGUUCUCCCUUUUCAUUUUUAAGACUACUAAUUUGAUUUUCCUCCCUCCUUUUUCUAAUCAGAUUUACCAAAGGCUUAUCUAUUUUAUUGGCUUUUUCAUAGAACCAACUCUUAGUUUUAUUAAUUAGUUCAAUAGUUUUUUUUUUACUUUCAAUAUUAUUAAUUUCUCCUUUUAAUUUUAGAAUUUCAAAUUUAGUAUUUGAUUGGGGGUUUUAAUUUGGUUCUUUUUCUAGUUUUUUUUUAGUUGCAAGCCCAAAUUCAUUGAUGUUCUCUUUCUCUGUUUUAUUCAAAUAAGCCCCUAAGGAUAUAAAAUUUCCUCUUAUUACCGCUUUGGCUGCAUCCCACAAAUUUUGAUAUGAUGUCUCAUCUUUAUCAUUAUCUUGAGUGAAAUUAUUAAUUGUAUUUAUAAUUUGCUGUUUCACCCAAUCGUUCUUUAAGAUAAGAUUGUUUAGUUUCCAAUUACUUUUUGUUGAAUGUAGUUUUAAUUGCCUCAUGAUCUGAAAAGAAAGCAUUUACAAUUUCUGCCUUCUUGCAUUUAAUUUUGAGGUCUUUAUGUCCCAAUAUAUGGUCAGUUUUUGAAUAGGUUCCAUGAACUGCUGAGAAGAAAGUAUAUUCCUUUCUGUCUCCAUUCAGUUUUCUCCAAAGAUCUAUCAUACCUAAUUUUUCUAAUAUUCUAUUUUUAGAAUUUUUAAUUCUCUUUAAUUUCUUUCUUAUUUGUUUUGUGGUUUGAUUUGUCUAAUUCUGAGAGUGCAAGGUUGUGACCUCCCACUAUUUACAGUUUUGCUGUCUAUUUCUUCUUGCAACUCUCUUAACUUCUCCUUUAGGAAGUUAGAUGCUAUACCACUUGGUGCAUAUAUGUUUAGUAUUGAUACUGCUUCAUUGUCUAUGCUACCCUUUAGCAAGAUAUAGUUUCCGUCCUUAUCUCUUUUAAUUAGAUCAAUUUUUGCUUUUGCUUGAUCUGAGAUAAGGAUGGCUACCCCUGCUUUUUUGACUUCACUUGAAGCAUAAUAGAUUUUGCUCCAGCCUUUUACCUUUACUCUGUAUGUGUCUCCCUGCUUUACAUAUGUUUCCUGUAAACAACAUAUUGUAGGGUUCUGACUUUUGAUCCAGUCUGCUAUCUGCCUCCUCUUUAUGGGGGAGUUCAUCCCAUUCACAUUUACGGUUAGAAUUACUAAUUCUGUAUUUCCUGCCAUCCUAAUAUCCCUAGACUAUGCUUUUCUUUUUCUUGCCCCCCCAACCCUUUUUCCCCGUUUUAAAAUUAUGUGCCCCACUUGUAUCCUGAUGCUCACCUUCUUUAGAAUCCCUCCCUCCCCCCUUUGAAUCUUUUCCCCUUUCUUGUAUCCUUCCCUUAUUACUCUUUUUCUUUUCCCUUUUCUUCUCCCCCUUUUUAAUGAGGCGCGAGAUGAUUUUUUCUAAAACAAGUAGGUCAAUUAUUUUCUCUUUGGGUCAACUUGGAUGAGAGUAGAUUCACACAAUGUUCCUCCCCCUCUCUAAAUUCCCUCAGAUAUGAUUAGU
rnacentral:lncRNA from 1 species